AGUGGCGGACGGGUGAGUAACGCGUGAGAAUCUGCCUUCAGGAGGGGGACAACAGUUGGAAACGGCUGCUAAUACCCCGUAAGUCUACGGAUAAAACGGUUAAUUCCGCCUGAAGAUGAGCUCGCGUCGGAUUAGCUAGUUGGUGGGGUAAAGGCUUACCAAGGCUACGAUCCGUAGCUGGUCUGAGAGGAUGAUCAGCCACACUGGGACUGAGACACGGCCCAGACUCCUACGGGAGGCAGCAGUGGGGAAUUUUCCGCAAUGGGCGAAAGCCUGACGGAGCAACGCCGCGUGCGGGAGGACGGCCUGUGGGUUGUAAACCGCUUUUCUCAGGGAAGAAGAUCUGACGGUACCUGAGGAAUCAGCAUCGGCUAACUCCGUGCCAGCAGCCGCGGUAAUACGGAGGAUGCAAGCGUUAUCCGGAUUUAUUGGGCGUAAAGCGUCCGCAGGCGGCUAAUCAAGUCUGCUGUUAAAGGCCGAGGCUUAACUUCGGUUGAGCAGUGGAAACUGAUUAGCUAGAGUGCGAUAGGGGUAGAGGGAAUUCCCAGUGUAGCGGUGAAAUGCGUAGAUAUUGGGAAGAACACCAGUGGCGAAGGCGCUCUACUGGGUCGCAACUGACGCUGAGGGACGAAAGCUAGGGGAGCGAAAGGGAUUAGAUACCCC
rnacentral:rRNA from 1 species